CAUGUGCUAUGGGAAUUAUGGUAAAUACCAAACGCCGACAUGGGAAGCACACAUGAACGCCCCCUCUUGUGGUAUUUUCCACUGGGCAACUCGUAGAAAAUUUUGCUACACGAGUUGCCGAGAUGAGAUGAACUUUAACCUUUUCAACAUGGCGGCGAGCGGUACAAGACACUUGAAUGUUAAGCACUGUACGCUACUAAAGUUUUUUUUACUAGUACUAGUGGGUAGUUUUUGGUGUCUAUGCAAUGUUGCGUCAUUAACAAGUGUAAUAUAAUACGUUAGAAAUCCGUUUCCUUUAAAAAUGUGUUAUGGUUUGUUUUUACCUAUCCAGAGCAGACGCUAUUGCUAACCAUAGCUAACUAACUAUUGCUAACUUGAAUCUGGUCCACCAUCUUUAAUUUGUCAACAACAACAAAAGCAACACAACACACUGUGACCGCGCCCUAUUUAAGGAGAGAGAGAGAGAGAGAGCAGAGGGAGCUCUCUCCACAACUAGACGACUGAUGUGUGUGCAGAUAGAAGCUGAAACGCUGAAUAAAAGCGAGUUGUGUGAAAUCAGUUCUGUCCUGCCGUCCUUCUGUCACAGACCGAUGCUUGACCACGCCCCCGCUGCCACAAACACUAAAUGAAAACGAACCAGAGAUAGUAAAUUCAUCUUCCUAUCUCUCUGACUAAAUACACGAACACUAACACACAACAAAGUUCGCAUUGCUUGUCGCGUUGCUGUGAUGUUUCUCUCCCUCCGGAUUAAAUGGACAGUGACUCGAAAAUCACUAAAAUACAUGAAUACUAAAUGAACAGUUUGCUCUGAUGGCGCAGUUCAUGUGGCCUUUUCUGCUUUCCCGUCGGUGCGCUAUCCGCCGCGUUUCGCCCUUCUUUAAUCCACAUUUCUGCGAAUUUCUCAGCAGGGAAGGGACGCACGUCUGGCCCAUUGACAGCGAGGAAAAGAAGGCUGUCAGUGUGGAUACAUUCAUUCUUUUGCGCUCAUCAGUAAGGAUGUGAUUCAUGGUGCUAAAUCCACGUUCACACUCUGAUUAUCUACAAUGUAUCUAUUUGCUGGGGACGUUCGUGAACAUCAAAGCUGCCACUUCGGGUCAUUUUGAAAGUGAGUGCAAUGUAGACCAUAGAAAACUGUCUCACAACAUGCCUGUCAUGUCAACUUUUUUUUUUUUGGUUUGUUUGUUUUAUUGACGGGGUUGUCCCCGAGGAUUUUUUUUUCAGCAGAGAUAAAAACCAGAGGGGGGGAUGAUCCCCACCAUCCCCCCAGCAAAUCGCACCCAGUUUGUAUCCACUGUGUUAUUUUGAAACUGUAUGAAAUGAGAACUGUGUGAUUUUGAGUCGGUUCACUCAGCAGACCGAAUUCGGCCUUUGUUAAUUGAUUUAAUAAAGGUCUAAACUUUUCUUCAACCUCUUUGAAUCAUUUUUGUUUGGAAGAGUUUAAGUUUUGAGAGUUUCCACGACAAGGAGGGGUUCCCCUCACGCUUUCUGCCUGAUGUGAGCUCAAGAAGAUUUUCCUUGCCACUGUUAGCUCUUUCUUGCUCAUUAGAGAUCUACACUAUAUGGCAUAAGUAUGUGGACGCCUCAAGCCAUAGCCUAAAGGUUAGAGAAGCAGCUUUGGGACCAAAAGGUCACCAGGGCAAUUCCCUGAACCAUCAGGAAUUGAGCAGGGCAACCGCUCUCAGGCUGCUCUAUGUAUGUUGUAUGUCGCUCUGGAUAAAAGUGUCUGCUAAAGGCCAUUAAUAUAAUGUAAUGACUAUCACCAGCAGCUGUCUUGUUGAAGAUCCCUUUCCAAAACCUUGUUUCCCCCCUUGCUGUUAUAAAAAGCUCCACUGUUCUAGGAAGGCUUUCCACUGCAGUCGGUGUUCCAGUUCAUCCCAAAGUUGUUCAGUGGGCUUGAAUUCAGUGAGGGCUGGGUGCAGGACACUCACAUUCUUCAUUCCAACCUUCACACACCAUGGAGCUCGCUUUGUGGACAGGAGCAGCAUCAUCAUCAUCGUCAUGCUGGAACAGGUUUGGACCUGUUAGUUCCAGUGAAGGGAAACUGUAAUGUUACAGCAUACAGAGACAUUGCGUACAAUUGUUUACUGCCAACUUUGUCUCAAAAGGUUAGGGAAGGAACAAAUACGAGUGUCAUGGUCAGGUGUCCACAAAUUUUUUUUGUCCAUAUAAUGUACAUAUAUAUAUGGUGUAUACUGUUAAUGUGUGUUUAAUUUUGUCUUUAAUGAAGAGUGUUUUGAUUUGCUUAUUGUAUUAUUGAAAACUUAAAUUAAAAUAAAUCCUUAGCGGCUAUGAAAUACCUAA